AUUGAACGCUGGCGGCAUGCUUUACACAUGCAAGUCGAACGGCAGCAUGGGUGCUUGCACCUGAUGGCGAGUGGCGAACGGGUGAGUAAUGUAUCGGAACGUAUCCGGAAAUGGGGGAGAACGUAGCGAAAGUUACGCUAAUACCGCUGAUGCCCUGAGGGGGAAAGGCGGGUAUCGCAAGACCUAUCGUUUUCGGAGCGGCCGUUAUCAGAUUAGCUUGUUGGGGAGGUAAAGGCUCACCAAGGCGACGAUCUGUAGUUGGUCUGAGAGGACGACCAGCCACACUGGGACUGAGACACGGCCCAGACUCCUACGGGAGGCAGCAGUGGGGAAUUUUGGACAAUGGGGGCAACCCUGAUCCAGCCAUGCCGCGUGAGUGAAGAAGGCCUUCGGGUUGUAAAGCUCUUUCGGACAGAAAGAAAUCGCACUUACUAAUACUAGGUGUGGAUGACGGUACUGUAAGAAUAAGCACCGGCUAACUACGUGCCAGCCGCCGCCGUAA
rnacentral:rRNA from 1 species